UACGUAGGGUGCGAGCGUUGUCCGGAUUUAUUGGGCGUAAAGAGCUCGUAGGUGGUUUGUCGCGUUGUUCGUGAAAACUCACAGCUCAACUGUGGGCGUGCGGGCGAUACGGGCAGACUGGAGUACUGCAGGGGAGACUGGAAUUCCUGGUGUAGCGGUGGAAUGCGCAGAUAUCAGGAGGAACACCGGUGGCGAAGGCGGGUCUCUGGGCAGUAACUGACGCUGAGGAGCGAAAGCGUGGGGAGCGAACAGG
rnacentral:rRNA from 1 species